ACGGGGGGUGCAAGCGUUGUUCGGAAUUAUUGGGCGUAAAGAGCGUGUAGGCGGCCUGAUGUGUCAGAUGUGAAAGCCCUGGGCUUAACCCAGGAAGUGCAUUUGAAACUGUCAGGCUUGAGUAGGGGAGAGGGAAGUGGAAUUCCUGGUGUAGAGGUGAAAUUCGUAGAUAUCAGGAGGAACACCGGUGGCGAAGGCGACUUCCUGGCCCUAUACUGACGCUGAGACGCGAGAGCGUGGGUAGCAAACAGGAUUAGAUACCCUGGUAGUCCACGCCGUAAACGAUGUUCACUAGGUGUUGGGGGUAUUGACCCCCUCAGUGCCGGAGCUAACGCAUUAAGUGAACCGCCUGGGGAGUACGGUCGCAAGACUA
rnacentral:rRNA from 1 species